GACGAACGCUGGCGGCGUGCUUAACACAUGCAAGUCGAACGGAAAGGCCCUGCUUUUGUGGGGUGCUCGAGUGGCGAACGGGUGAGUAACACGUGUGUAACCUGCCCUUGACUUUGGGAUAACUUCAGGAAACUGGGGCUAAUACCGGAUCGGAGCUCCUGCUGCAUGGUGGGGGUUGGAAAGUUUCGGCGGUUGGGGAUGGAUUGGCGGCUUACCAGCUUGUUGGUGGGGUAGUGGCUUACCCAGUGUUUGACGGGUAGCCGGCCUGAGAGGGUGACCGGCCACAAUGGGACUGAGAUACGGCCCAGACUCCUACGGGAGGCAGCAGUGGGGAAUAUUGCACAAUGGGCGGAAGCCUGAUGCAACAACGCCGCGUGCGGGAUGCCGGCCUUCGGGUUGUAAACCGCUUUCGCCUGUGACGAAGCGUGAGUGACGGUAAUGGGUAAAGAAGCACCGGCUAACUACGUG
rnacentral:rRNA from 1 species